UGGUCUCCAAAGCUUGCCUUCCCAGGGAUUCUGGUUGGUAAAGGUGUUAUUUAACCACUCCGGGAAAUUCUCCCUUCUGCCACAAAAUCCAGUCUUCUAGAGGCUUCCCUAGGUUAUCUUUUACUUUAAAUCAUUCAUUUAUCUUUUACUUCAAAUCAUUCCUUGACGGGCCCUUACUGUUUGCCACGAACUGGGCUAGACUCUGGAGACACAAAGAUUAAAGAAUUCCUCUGACCCCGUCUUCCUCCGGACGCCUUCCCAGCCCACCCAGGCUGCCUAGAAGCCCCUAGUCCAACCAUCACCGUUCAGUUGCUGAACUCCACCCUGAACUUGAGCAUUUAUAUCAAACACGGUGCUGUUCCUGGUGCUAAGUAAUCUGCAUUCAUUAAGUCACUUAAUUCUCCCCACAACCUUAAUCCCACUGAACAGAUGAGGAAACAGAAGCACACAGCGAUUAGGUAGUUUAGUUAGUCUUAUCCGCUAAGCAGCGGGCUCCGGGAUCUGAAAGCACACCUUCUGGCCCCAGCUUUAAAUGUUCCUUUCUUUGUUUUUUCCACCGGCAUCUGAAAUCGUGCCAGAUCCCAAUGACUCUCUCCUGCGCCCACCACAAUAUCUGGCACCACGGGGAACCAAUCAUUUAUUCCUCAAGUGAAAGGAGGGAAGAAAAGGGAAAGAAAGAUGCAUACUAGUCAGUCCGUCCACGGCGGUUUGGUUAUCAACAUUUCCGAAGCCUCAACACUGAGCAAGUGCCUGAGAAGUGCGGAGGGAGCUCAAGAUAAACUGAGCGUUCAGCACGUUCAGUUACCAGUGGCCGUAGUGCCAAGAGCUCCGAGGAGACCCUUGCGUCGACCUGGCGGCCUCUUUUCUCUCGCCCCGUCCCCUUCGCCGGGAAUUCCUGCUCCACGUCUUCCGUCCGCUCCCUUCGCCGUCCCCUCCGGGAGCUCCGCCCUCCGGGCUUUCCCGCGCUCCGGCCUCCGGGAGCCGAGGGGCGCGUGGGAGCGCGCCGGGCGCCGCGGGCAUGCGCACUGGGGGCGGCGCACUGCGCAUGCGGGAAGAUGGCGGGCCGGGCGUCCUGAGCCCCGCGGGUCAUCCUGCUCUCUUCCCGCCCGCGUCCCAAGUCCCGAGGUCGUGGGGCAGCGGCGCGUCCGUCCGCGGGCCGGCCUAGGCAGGCGGCGCCUCGGAGCAGGCCAGGGACCCGGCGGGUGCAGGCUCCCGGGACCCGGCGUCUUGGGGGCGGCGCCCGAGUGGAGCGGGAGAAGGCGGGAGAGCUCGCAGGGUGCGAGGGCGAGGGGCGGCCGGCCGGGCAGCAUGAGUCAGCAGCGGCCGGCGCGCAAGCUGCCCAGCCUGCUCGUGGACCCGGCGGAGGAGACGGUGCGCCGCCGCUGCCGAGACCCCAUCAACGUGGAGGGCCUGCUGCCAUCAAAAAUAAGGAUAAAUUUAGAAGAUAAUGUACAAUAUGUGUCCAUGAGAAAAGCUCUAAAAGUGAAGAGACCUCGUUUUGAUGUAUCACUGGUUUAUUUAACUCGAAAAUUUAUGGAUCUUGUCAGAUCUGCUCCUGGGGGUAUUCUUGACUUAAACAAGGUUGCCACAAAACUGGGGGUACGGAAGCGAAGAGUGUACGACAUCACCAACGUCUUAGAUGGCAUCGAUCUGGUGGAAAAAAAGUCCAAGAACCAUAUUCGAUGGAUAGGAUCUGAUCUUAGCAACUUCGGAGCAGUGCCCCAGCAGAAGAAACUGCAGGAGGAGCUUUCCGACUUAUCGGCGAUGGAAGACGCUCUGGAUGAGUUGAUUAAGGAUUGUGCUCAGCAGUUGUUUGAGUUAACGGAUGACAAAGAAAACGAAAGACUAGCGUAUGUGACGUAUCAAGAUAUUCACAGCAUUCAGGCCUUCCAUGAACAGAUCGUAAUUGCAGUUAAAGCUCCGGCAGAAACCAGGUUGGAUGUUCCUGCUCCCAGAGAACACAACAAGUGCAGUGGUCAUGAUUGUCACCCACUUAAAGCUGAGGAAUCUGAAGCACAGAAAGAUGAACUUUCUCGCCGUCACACAGGGACAGUCAGAAUGUAAACCCAGGACUCGAUCACAGUGCACAUCCGGAGCACCAAAGGCCCCAUCGACGUUUACUUGUGCGAAGUGGAGCAGGGCCACUCGAGCAGUAAAGUGUCGGACGGGGCGGGGGCCUCUUCAUCUAAAAGCAAACGUCCCGGACCCCCUGAGAAAGAAGAGAAGACUCCGCAGCAAAGCGAAGAGCUGCUUGAAGUGAGCAACUGACGGCACGAGCGGGUCACGUGUCGCGGCCUCUCGGCACAUCCCUUGUGGACGGAUUCGCGUCCGAGGGGGUUCUCGGAGCAAUAACCGUCCUUGCUCCCCGGUUAGUAGCAGCAGCGAGACCGUCGCACCUCCGAGCAGUUCACCGCUUGGACGACUGGGUACUUGUGGUUCCUGCACUUGAAAACACCUCCUUUUAUAAUCAUGCACUCCUUUUUGUCAGCGAAGUAGACAUCCUGCCUCCUGAAAUGACGGAAUCGCAGAGUAUCACUGAAACAGCGAGCAGGCUGGCCGGACGUUUCCUCGUGGACGCUGCCCUGUGCCGCCCGGAUCAUGUGUUGUUAUCACAAAAGAAGUGGCCUUACACGGGUUCCUGUCUGCAAUAGAUGGGUGUCCACGUGCAUCCGGAUGUGAUGUCUUUGUAAAUAUUUGUAUGAUGUUUAGAUGACUUAUGAAAUAUGUCUAAGUGAAGCUUUUCAGCCUUGUACAGCCGAAAUGAUGUAUAUAUGGAAAGUGACAGACAUAUUCUCUAAUUUCGGUGGUAUCUCUAACUUAUUAGAAUCCUCUGAAUGAGGGUUAGAGGGAGUUUUUUCCAAACUUCUACAUGUAGAAGUAUCAUAAAUAUUCUAUCCAUUUAAAGCUCAUGGACUUAGGGAAUUCCCGUUGUGGCUUAGUGGUAAUGAACCCGACUAGUAUCCAUGAGGACGCAGGUUCAAUCCCUGGCCCUGCUCAAGGGGUUAAGGAUCCGGCAUUGCCAUGAGCUGUGGUGUAGUUUGUAGACCUAGCUCGGAUCCGGUGUGGCUGUAGGGUAGGCCUUCAGCUGCGGCUCCAAUUUGACCCCUGGCCUGGGAACUUCCAUAUGCCACGGGAGCGGCCCUAAAAAGACAGAGUUCGUGGAUCUUAAUUGCAGGAUCUCAAAGUGGUUCCCAGUGCUAAAAUUGGACUUUAGGCUCCCUGCAGAGUCAUUGUGUCCGAGCAGACUGGUGGCAUGCCCCGAGCUGUGGGAGCAAGUGUAGAAAUGCCAUCAGGUGGUGGCUUAAUGCCUUGCAAGACAUGACUCAAUCAUGGUGAAAAUUGGAAAUGAUUUUAAUCUGUUUUGCACGCAGAUUUUGUAAUAUGUUUCUGUGCACAGCCUUGCUCUUCGGUCAGAGGGGCCGAGUUGGUUGUACCUGCGCUCUCUCCGGCUCUGGUCCCACGUUCCGAGUCCCUAGCUGUCACUACCUCAUUGGGUAAGUCAUUUACCACUCUGUGCCUCGGUUUGCUCAGUAGGUUACCUGUAGACUGUGAGCUCCUUGAGGGCCUUUGUCUUAAUCAUUGUUAAACCUGGCGCCUCGCGCCACGCCUGGCACGUGAAAAGUGCCCAACAAGUGUUUGAACAAAUCAGUGAGUGAGCGAGCGAGUGAAUCGUGAAAUUAACAGUCCUUGGCUUGUCUACCAUACAGGGUUCUUGUGUCAUUCAGAUUCAUAUUUUAAACUUCUCUUGCUUUCACAGAAAGGAUAGAAGCAGCUUGAAAUUGAGAGCAGGUAUAAAAAGAGUUAACAGAGAAUCAAAAAGGAAAAUAUUGAAGAAUCAUGCUGAGUAUUUCAGAUUCGCGGACACAGUCCGAGCUCCCUCGGUCUUGGCCAGCCCCGUACCUCCGCUGCGCCCCGGCCUCCCCCCUCGAGGGCCCGCCGGCUGCUGCUGUGGCCCCGGCUGCUCAUCGCGGCCCCGGCUCAGCAGGAGGCAGGCGGACAGGGCUCCGAGGCGGGGAUCUGGCUGCAGGAUUGGCAGCCGUGGGUGAACGUGUGGCGGCAAAGACGAGAGAGUGGGUCGGGUCUGCUAAAGAGAGGGUACAGCCGGGGCUGGGGCGAGGCCUGGUGAGAUUUAUUUUAAGGGGAAAGACAGGAGAAAAAGCCUUUCCCGAGCGGGAAUCAUGACAGGUGGGGAGAAGCCAGCUGGAGAAGGUCGUGCCCAACCGCCAAAGGGGGCCUUGCUGCCGGGAGCCUCGUGUCUGAGCAGCGGUUCCUGACGUGUGAAACGCGGCAGACCUUCUCCUCUGCAGAUCGUGUCACAGGGGAAAGGCCAUCAUGUGAGCACAAGUCCUCUGUGAACUGUAGUCGUGUUGCAAACGUGUCACAUAAACCCACCUCUCCGCUCACGCCGUCUUCUGGUGUUCGGUCUCUUCUUUUUACAACUGCUCCAGCCAGCGUCCCCACAGCCAGCUGCCCCGAACAUCGCUGCCCCCCGCCGUGGGCGCAGGCGUACCUCCUCGCGUCGUGCUUCGCAGAUUCUGCGAUGCUUAAAAAUUGAAGGUUUGCGGCCACCCUGUGUCCGCAAAGUCUGUCGGCGUCAUUUUUCCCUGUAACAUUUGUUUAUUUCCUGCUUUGGUAAUUCUCGGUGAUAUUUCAAACCUUUUCAUUAUUAUUAUGUUUGUUAUAAAUAUAAAACUUGAACAGAU